rnacentral:rRNA from 1 species
UACGUAGGAUGCAAGCGUUGUCCGGAAUUAUUGGGCGUAAAGAGCGUGUAGGCGGCCCGAUUAGUCCGCUGUGAAAGUCCAGGGCUCAACCCUGGAAUGCCGGUGGAUACUGUCGGGCUAGAGUCCGGAAGGGGCGAGUGGAAUUCCUGGUGUAGCGGUGAAAUGCGCAGAUAUCAGGAGGAACACCAAUGGCGAAGGCAGCUCGCUGGGACGUGACUGACGCUGAGACGCGAAAGCGUGGGGAGCAAACAGG